CAGUAGCCGCGGUAAUACGAAGGGGGCUAGCGUUGUUCGGAUUUACUGGGCGUAAAGGGCGCGUAGGCGGAUUUGUAAGUCAGGGGUGAAAUCCCGAGGCUCAACCUCGGAACUGCCUUUGAUACUGUGGAUCUUGAGUCCGGGAGAGGUGAGUGGAACUGCGAGUGUAGAGGUGAAAUUCGUAGAUAUUCGCAAGAACACCAGUGGCGAAGGCGGCUCACUGGCCCGGAACUGACGCUGAGGCGCGAAAGCGUGGGGAGCAAACAGGAUUAGAUACCCCCGUAGUCCCUGUCUCUUAUAC
rnacentral:rRNA from 1 species